rnacentral:rRNA from 1 species
ACGGAAGGCAGCAGUGAGGAAUAUUGGUCAAUGGGCGGGAGCCUGAACCAGCCAAGUAGCGUGAGGGAUGACGGCCCUAUGGGUUGUAAACCUCUUUUGACAGGGAAUAAAGUGAGCCACGUGUGGUUCAUUGCAUGUACCUGUGGAAUAAGGAUCGGCUAACUCCGUGCCAGCAGCCGCGGUAAUACGGAGGAUCCGAGCGUUAUCCGGAUUUAUUGGGUUUAAAGGGUGCGCAGGCGGCACGUUAAGUCAGCGGUGAAAUGUCGGGGCUCAACCCGGGCACUGCCGUUGAAACUGGCGAGCUUGAGUACGGAUGAAGUCGGCGGAAUGUGAUGUGUAGCGGUGAAAUGCUUAGAUAUGUCACAGAACACCGAUUGCGAAGGCAGCUGACUAAUCCGCAACUGACGCUCAGGCACGAAAGCGUGGGGAUCGAACAGGAUUAGAUACCCUGGUA